GAGGCACUCGCUUGGCCACGCCCACUCCCGUUCAUUUAAAGGGCCAGUAGCACCCGUUAGCCCGGACCGUUCUCUUCGCCACGCGAGACGUCGGUUUUUGCAGCUUUUUAAUUGCGGCAUGAAGGCUGUGGAAGUAAUUCCAUAUCUCUUUGUGGAAGUGGAUCUGCCUGAACACUAUGGCUCUGUCCUGCUGUCUGGCUGCCGCCAGCCCUGUCCCUGUGGCUCUGAGGCAGCGGGCGCCUGGAUCCCCAGGGAGCGCACGCCAGUGACGGAGUCAGGAUGCUUUCAGCAUUUAUGAAAAACAGCGGGCAGAGGAUUCCAGCUCCAGGGAGUGCCUCAGCCAUCGCAGACGCUGAAUCCCUCUGGAUUUAUCUGGAAGCAGAGGAAGACAGGGAACAGCUCCAGGGCUCUGUGUGCCAGUGCCUGGGGGGAUUGCCCAGCCCCAGCAUCUUGCCAUGCCUCCCUUGUUCCUUGGGCACAUCCUGCGGGAAUUUCUGGAGUGUGGGUCCUGCUGGCAUCACUCCAGCGCUCCCAGUGUGCUCCCAGCUGCCCGAGCAGUGGGGACCGUCCCCAGGGUGCCCUCCCCUGCAGCUGCAGGGCGUGUGGCAGCCCCGACAGCCAGGCCAAGGCAGGCAGCACACGGUCCUGCUGGGCACUGCCAGCAGUCUCACCUCGGGUCCCCUCAGGACACCCCUGCCCAGCCCUGGGCAGCCAGAGGCGGGUGCCUGCAGCCUCAUGCUCACAGCCCAGCCAGGAACAAUGGCUCAUUUCGCUGCAUCCGCUCCGGAAAAUCCCCCGGCCCCACUCGGGCUCCGCUCCAGGACGCUGUGGCUCUCUCUUCCUCUAGCCUUGGAGGGGCAGGUGAUGGAGUCCCCCACAGCAGUGGGCAGGGAACAGCCUCAGGCUGCUGGGGAGAGCCCUCAGGAAGGAUCUGGAGCUGCAGGGAGCCCAGCCCUGUGUCCCCAGCAGCCACAAGCUUCCCUGCCUUGGCUCACCCUGCAACCCUGUGCAAGAGCAGGAGCACGAGGGCUGCUCGCCGUGUUUGUGGAGGGCUCUGUGUCUCUCCAUGAUGGGAGCUGGGAUAUCUAUCUCCUCCUGGAGCCUGGCCAGACAGCCCUGGGAAAGGCGAGUUCUCUUCCAUGGGAAAGUCCUGCAAGAAGAAAUUCCUGCAGCCCCACCGUUCCCCAGGGCCCUGGUGCUCCAUUGUGUCCCCAGUGCUGUGGGGAUGUGACACAAGGACUGUGUCCUGCUUGCUGCCUUAUCCCAGUCAGUCCUUGGCUGUCCCCACCCCUCUCCACAGGGAACCUUCCCUGAGGACAUCCAAAGGGAUCCCCUGCAAGAGGGGCUCCCCCAAAACUUGGCCUGCUCUGAGCUAAUCUCUCAUUAGGCUUUCUCACAGAUGAUCCUGAUGAGUCGUCCUGGGGGAGCCCUGCAGACAAAGCCGGGAAGAAGAGAUCCCUGCAGGCAAGCCGAGGGUGUGAUGCUGUGUCCCCAUCCUGGCUUCUCCUCCUUCCUUGGCAGCAGAGAGCCGGAAAAGCCAGGUGCCAGGGAGCGCAGGGCAGGGCCGUUCCUCCUGCCCACUCCUCCGGGCAGCUGUGGCGUUGGCAAGUGCUGGAUGAGCGUGGUCAGGACCUCUCGCUGUCCCCUGGGCAGCCCAAGCCCACAGCCAGCCCCAUCGUCUGCCCCAUUGUGUGGGCGAGUGCCCGGCCCUGUCCCGGCUGGCGCCAGCACAAUGGGCCUUUUUUCCGGCCGGCACUGGGGGAGAUGGACUCGGAAGUGCUCCCAAGGAAAAGGAUGGUUUAUAAAUAGCUCCUGGCUUCCCCUGGCCACCCCAUCAGCGCCCAUCCCCAAAUCCUGCCCCUUGCUCCGUGCCUGCAGUGCUCCCAGGCUAGGAGAGGAGCCUGGGGCACGGACGUCACCAGCCCCGCUGAACGUGUGUGAGCAAGGGCACGACGUGGCUGUCACACCCUGUCCCAGGGCUGCACCUGCUCUGGCCCGUGGGGCUCCUGUAACCCCAGGAUGUCGAGUGGCAGCCCUGAGCAGAGGGCUCCUUGUCCCCGUGCUUUGGCAGUGGCUCUCAGCUGGAUAAGGUUCUCCCAGGCGUGCUCCAGCUGUCCUUGUCCAUCUGCCCCGCACGCAGCUCCUGAGGCAGGGAGCAAGGGAAGGGCUGCACGGCUCCACAGCCUUCCCUACCACCCCUGCUCACCACAAACCAGCCCUCAAAGCCAGUCCUGGAGCCCUGGGGAGCUGCUUCUGUCCUCUGCCAGCAGCACCAUCACCAGGGCAGGAUGCUGAGCUCUCAACGUUGGGCUGGGUGACCUUUGCCAGCUCAGCUCCCUUUUGGGGCUUUGCCACCGCUCUGCAUCCGCUGAGCCCCAGCCAUCCCCGCACAGCUGCUCCAAAAAUCGCAGUCCUCUGUGACAGAGAUCCAGAUGUCACCUUCCUUUCCCCCCCCCACCUUCCUUCCCCCGUUCCGCUCCUGUCCUUCCUUCCUCCACCCUCGCGGCUCCUCGCGGGCCCCUCCUGAACAAAGGCCCCGUAGCCAUGGUUAAUAAUCCCCACAGAAAGGCCCUGCACGAGGAGAGGAAGGAGAGGGGAGACACAAAGGAGCCACUGGGAGCCAAGCCGAGGAAGGGGGUUGGAAGGAGGCGUUUUCCUGAGUUGGAAGACACAGGCCUCGAAGAGGGCUCCCAGAGGCGAACCCAGAUGGAGCAGGGGUACCCCAAAGUGACCUCGUGGCACCCAGACAGCGGAGAGCCAAAGGCUGGGCAGGGUUCCUGUACUUACCCCCGAGUGCAAAGCCUAAUGUGAGCCCUAGGGCCCCCCCAAAAUGCAGCAGCAGGGAGCGGCAGAAGGUGAGGGUGAGGGGAGCAGUGGCAGCGGAGCAGCCGGCAGUGUGGGAAAGCUCGGUGCUGGCCCACAUCCCAUCCCUUCCCCGGGGAGCAGGGCCCCUCUUGGCCCUGACGGUGUUGUGUGAAGAGGUGCAGGCCCAGGUGGACACAGCCAGAGGUUCUGCCCAGCACGGCUGCACUCCACCCACCCCGGAGAGCUGCAGGGAGCCCAGCCAGCCCAUUGUGGGUUUCACUGGCACAGAGUACCCCAAGCACCCCCCCGAGCCCACCCCAGCCCCAUCCUCUGGGCUUGGUGCAGGGCUUGGGGAAGGCACAGGGCCCCCUGGCCCACCUGGGAUGCGUGUCAGGACAGGCACAGGCACAGCCCACGCUGGGCCAGCUCCCUCUGGCAGCAUCCCAAGGUCCCCAGAUGAGCAGGGAUCUGUCUGGGAGUGCAGGAAAAGGUGGAAGGGGCUGCAGUGUGUGCUGGGACGCACAGCCCCAGGCCUGGCUCCGUGCUGGCCAUCGCUCCCCUCCAGCUGCAGGGAGCCAGGCCCAGCAGGAGCCAGAGGAGGGAGGCAAAUGCAAUUACACGCUUCCAGAUCAUUCCUGCAACCUGCGAUGCUCAGAUAAAGCUGGGAAAUCAGCCCUGCCCUGGGCAGGGUCCUGUGGAUCCAGCAGCUGUGCCAGGGACUGAAAGCCCCAGCACUGCCAGGGGCAGAACUGCCUGCCCGGGCACAGCCUCAUCCGAGAGGUGGCAGAAGGGAUGGAGAAGGAGAGUGCUGGGAGCUGUGGGGGCCCAGGCACCGAUGUUCCCUCCACUGCCAGGGAGUGAGCGCUGUGGGAGCUGCUCUGUGCCUCAGGUGGAGCCAGAGCUCUGCUCCCUGACUUUCCCAGCCCAGCUGUGUGCGUGGGACUGCGACACAGGAGCCUCAUCCACAGUUUGUGUGCAUCGCUGUGAGUGGGGACUGCAGCCAAAUCCAUUAAGCAAGCAGAUAAACAAGAAGGCGUGAGAUCAGGCAGCAGGGAGGGAAGAUGAAGGUGGCCAGCCCGCCACGCUCCCCACGCAGAGUCCCCGAGCCCGCCGGCUGCCACACACAGCGCAGCGGGGUGAUUUCAUGCCUUCUGUUCAUGCCUUGCUUUCAAAUCCUGCCCCUCUUCCCCAGAACCAUUCUUUUGUCGGGGGGGGGCGGAAAAAGCACGAGUUUUCUUCCAAGUUAAGCAGGCUGAAGGCAGAGCCAUGCAGUGAGAGCAGGGGGCUGUCUGAGGGUGGCAUGCUCCCCAGCCUGUUUUCCCCAGGGAGUGGCACUGCCCUUUCCAACUGCUGGGAAUGUGCUGCAGAGGUUUUCUUAGCAACGUUCUGCUUUAUUUUUAACGUGGAAUAAAAGUUAUCCCCAGAACA
ensembl:lncRNA